rnacentral:rRNA from 1 species
UACGUAGGGUGCGAGCGUUGUCCGGAAUUACUGGGCGUAAAGAGCUCGUAGGUGGUUUGUCGCGUUGUUCGUGAAAACUCACAGCUCAACUGUGGGCGUGCGGGCGAUACGGGCAGACUGGAGUACUGCAGGGGAGACUGGAAUUCCUGGUGUAGCGGUGAAAUGCGCAGAUAUCAGGAGGAACACCGGUGGCGAAGGCGGUGGUCUGGGCCGGAACUGACGCUGAGGAGCGAAAGCGUGGGGAGCGAACAGG